rnacentral:rRNA from 1 species
GACAGAGGGGGCAAACGUUGUUCGGAAUUACUGGGCGUAAAGCGUGUGUAGGCGGUCCACUAAGUCGGGUGUGAAAGCCCUGGGCUCAACCCAGGAAGUGCACUCGAAACUGGCGGGCUUGAGUAUCGGAGAGGUUGGUGGAAUUCUCGGUGUAGAGGUGAAAUUCGUAGAUAUCGAGAGGAACACCGGUGGCGAAGGCGGCCAACUGGACGAAUACUGACGCUGAGACACGAAAGCGUGGGGAGCAAACAGG